UAGGGAAUCUUCGGCAAUGGACGAAAGUCUGACCGAGCAACGCCGCGUGAGUGAAGAAGGUUUUCGGAUCGUAAAACUCUGUUGUUAGAGAAGAACAAGGACGUUAGUAACUGAACGUCCCCUGACGGUAUCUAACCAGAAAGCCACGGCUAACUACGUGCCAGCAGCCGCGGUAAUACGUAGGUGGCAAGCGUUGUCCGGAUUUAUUGGGCGUAAAGCGAGCGCAGGCGGUUUCUUAAGUCUGAUGUGAAAGCCCCCGGCUCAACCGGGGAGGGUCAUUGGAAACUGAGAGACUUGAGUGCAGAAGAGGAGAGUGGAAUUCCAUGUGUAGCGGUGAAAUGCGUAGAUAUAGGGAGGAACACCAGUGGCGAAGGCGGCUCUCUGGUCUGUAACUGACGCUGAGGCUCGAAAGCGUGGGGAGCAAACAGG
rnacentral:rRNA from 1 species